rnacentral:miRNA from 15 species
UUACAGCUUCAAUACAGUGGU